rnacentral:rRNA from 1 species
GUGAGGAAUAUUGGACAAUGGGCGAAAGCCUGAUCCAGCCAUGCCGCGUGAACGAUGAAGGCCUUCGGGUUGUAAAGUUCUUUAGCCGAUGAUUAUAAUGACUGUAGUCGGAAAAUAAGCCCCGGCUAACUUCGUGCCAGCAGCCGCGGUAAUACGAAGGGGGCGAGCGUUAUUCGGAAUCACUGGGCGUAAAGCGUGCGUAGGCGGUUUUGUAAGUUAGGAGUGAAAGCCCAGGGCUCAACCUUGGAAUUGCUCUUAAAACUGCAAGGCUCGAAUCUCGGAGAGGAUAGCGGAAUUUCCAGUGUAGCAGUGAAAGGCGUAGAUAUUGGAAGGAACACCAGUGGCGUAAGCGGCUAUCUGGACGAGUAUUGACGCUGAGGCACGAAAGCGUGGGGAUCAAACAGGAUUAGAAACCCCGGUAGUCC